CGGGGCGUAGCGUAGCCUGGUAGCGCGCCGGUUUUGGGAACCGGAGGCCGCGAGUUCGAAUCUCGCCGCCCCGACCA
rnacentral:tRNA from 1 species